UACGUAGGGUGCGAGCGUUGUCCGGAAUUACUGGGCGUAAAGAGCUCGUAGGCGGUGUGUCGCGUCGGCCGUGAAAACCUGCAGCUUAACUGUGGGCUUGCGGUCGAUACGGGCAUCACUGGAGUUCGGCAGGGGAGACUGGAAUUCCUGGUGUAGCGGUGAAAUGCGCAAAUAUCAGGAGGAACACCGGUGGCGAAGGCGGGUCUCUGGGCAGUAACUGACGCUGAGGAGCGAAAGCGUGGGGAGCGAACAGG
rnacentral:rRNA from 1 species